rnacentral:rRNA from 1 species
GAUGAACGCUGGCGGCGUGCCUAACACAUGCAAGUCGAACGGACCCUUCGGGGUUAGUGGCGCACGGGUGAGGAACACGUAGCUUACCUGCCCUCUACACUGAGAUAACUCUGCGAAAGCAGAGCUAAUAUCGGAUAAGCUCACGGGGAAUAGAAUCUUUGUGAGAAAAGCUCCGGCGGUAGAGGAGGGGGCUGCGGCCCAUCAGCUAGUUGGUGAGGUAAUGGCUCACCAAGGCGACGACGGGUAGGGGACCUGAGAGGGUGACCCCCCACACUGGGACUGAGACACGGCCCAGACUCCUACGGGAGGCAGCAGUGAGGGAUAUUGCUCAAUGGGCGCAAGCCUGAAGCAGCGACGCCGCGUGGACGAUGAAGGUCUUCGGAUCGUAAAGUCCUUUUCUGUGUGACGAGGAAGGACGGUAGCACAGGAAUAAGUGUCGGCUAACUACGUGC